rnacentral:lncRNA from 1 species
AAAAUACUGGAGAGUAUAUUAGUCACUAUUGCCAAAUUCAACAGUAUCAUUGAGGGUAGAUGAGAGUGCAUCUUUGAAAGGGAGGAAAUAAUUUUUUACAGAUUUCCCUGCCUCUGUAGUUUCCGGCUUUUGAACUAAAAAUGAAAUAUAAUUAAAUUCCUAUCACAAUUUAUUUUCUCCUAAGUGAUCUAGAGGAAUAUGCAGAGUUAUAUUUUGAUAGUUGUCACUGAAGAAAGGAAAUGAACAUAUAAUGAGCAAUCUCUUCAUGCCAGGACUUUAUUUGGGUCAAUUCUUGAUGAGAUCUACACAUUUCUCUUUAACUUCUCAAUAUACAUUUGAGAAGCCAAGUCUAAAACUACUUGCUUUGAAAGGUAAACUAUUUCAACAUUACUUCUAAGAGAGAAUUGAGUUUAUUUAUAUUUUACAAAUCUGUGUUAAUCUACCUUUACUAUCUAAUUUGCAUCUUUAAUAUUUAUUAUGUGUCCCAAGGAAACCAGAAUUGAAAGAGACACGUGUAUCCUUCAUUGCAGCACUGUUUACAAUAGCCAGGACAUGGAAGCAAUCUAGAUGUCCAUCAGCAGACAAAUGGAUAAGAAAGCUGUGGUACAUAUACACAAUGGAGUAUUACUCAGCUAUUAAAAAUGAUGCAUUUGAAUCAGUUCUAAUGAGGUGGAUGAAACUAGAGCCUAUUUUACAGAGUGAAGUAAGUCAGAAAGAAAAACACCAAUACAGUAUAUUAACGCAUAUGUAUGGAAUUUAGAAAGAUGGUAAUGAUGACCCUAUAUGCAAGACAGCAAAAGAGACACAGAUGUAAAAAACAGUCUUUUGGACUCUGUGGGAGAAGGUGAGGAUGGGAUGAUUUGAGAGAAUAGCAUUGAAACAUGUAUAUUAUCAUAUGCGAAAUAGAUCGUCAGUCCAGAUUCAAUGCAUGAGACAGGGUGCUCAGGGCUGGUGCACUGGGAUGAUCCAGAGGGAUGUGAUGGAGAGAGA